UACGUAGGGUGCAAGCGUUGUCCGGAAUUAUUGGGCGUAAAGAGCUUGUAGGCGGUUUGUCGCGUCUGCUGUGAAAUUUCGGGGCUCAACCCUCGAAUGCCGGUGGAUACUGUCGGGCUAGAGUGCGGAAGAGGCGAGUGGAAUUCCUGGUGUAGCGGUGAAAUGCGCAGAUAUCAGGAAGAACACCAAUGGCGAAAGCAGCUCUCUGGGACGGUACUGACGCUGAGACGCGAAAGCGUGGGGAGCAAACAGG
rnacentral:rRNA from 1 species